AAUCUUUGGUUAACUGUUGUGGAUAUCCUCACCGAAAAGUGGUACAAAUUACUCCUUGGUGAAAAAUAUCUGAAAGAAUUUCUUUAGUACUUAUUACGGAUUCUGGAAGUAAAAAUUUAAAAUAUCCAUAUUUAACACCACAAUCGCGCAUUGAUUUACUUCUACUACAGUGUUGAGCUUUUUUGAAGAUAAAAGCACAUUCAAAUUAAAAAUGGCGGCACUGGGUGUAUCAGAACCGCCUCGGCUAAAUAACAAUGAAUUUCUAAACUACAUACCACAUCUUGAAUUAGAAGAACUUCUAAUGACUCAAAUUAAAGCAAAUGGAUCUUGGGACUAUUUAUUUAAAGCUUCCAUUAAGAAAGAAAACAAGCUUAGUUCACUUACGUGCAUUGCUUGUCAAGAAUUAAUAAAAUGCCAGAAGUUUAGCAGUCACUUAAAAGAAAAGUCUCAUGAAGAAUCCCUGAAAAAUGUCGAACAAUUUUAUCAUCCCUAUUAUACAUAUGACAAGGAAUGUGGAAAUAUUAAAAGUGAUGAAAAUAUUUCUGAUAGAGAUACUGAAACUGAUACCGUACGAACUAAAAAUAUUACUUCAAGUGAAGAGCGAUCCACCUUAUCGACAUCGAAAAUGAUUGCUGAAUGCAUUCGAGAAUCCGAAGGCGAUAUAGACUUGGUUACAGAUAAUGAGAAUUUUAUUAAUAUAAUUCUAAAAAAAGAUGUAACCAAACCUGAAGACUUAUUGGUAGAUGUUAAAUUGCCACUUCAAGAUAUAUUAAAUAUCGAAUUUUGUGCAGAAAAAGGGAGGUGGGUUCGGAUGAUAACCGUGAACAAAACUGCAAACACCAAGUUCUACUGUGCUUUGUGCUCAAAGUUUUGUUUUGGAAUUAUAACUGUGGACUGUCAUCUCAAAGGGUUCACACAUAAACGAGCCCAAAUAUCAUGCUUAGGCGUUCGCUGUUCUAGUUACAAAAAUCUAACUAAAAACUGUAUUUUUGGAUAUGGGGAAACGUUUUGCAUUAAUAUACAAAAAACGGAGAAUUUUGAAAAAGAAUCAUCACCAAACUCGAACGACGUUGAGAAGUUAAAAAAAAUUGAAGAUACCGAUGAAGAUAAAAACUUAGGAAGUAUUCAAAAAGUACAUGAAAGUAAUAUAAAGCCCUCUUUAUCUGCUACAAUUGCUAAUAAAGUUAAAAAUAUAAAAGAAAAAAUGCGAGUUCAGAAUAAGUAUGUGGAGGGUCUCAUAGGAGUGGAAUAUGUUGUUAAAAUACUAAAAACAAAAACAGAUAAAUAUCCGAUGUACGAAUGUUGCCUUUGUGAAAUCGUACUUAAUGAAAACCGUAUGCAAGGCCAUCUUACCGGAUAUAAUCAUCGACUUAAAUAUUGCGAACUGCAUUACCCUAAUACCAUAGAAAAGUUUAAAAAUGCAAUUGGGCAUGUUAAGUAUAUUGAUUACUUCAAUGCAAUGAACCAUAUUUUGUCAAAGAUUGCUUCUGCAAUUGAACAACACCAUGGUCGCAGUACCCCUUACGUGGUUUUAUUAUCGAUAUUUACCAAAAUGAGGACGGAGUUGAUAGCAAAAAUAUAUAGCUAUCCUAACGCUUGCCAGCAACAUGGACCAUCAUUCACAAACGUUAUGACGGAUGAAGAGAUUAAACAGAUAAUCAGAGAACAAACCGAAUACGUGGCGCAUACUAACAAUUAUGCCAGAUUCGUGGAAAAACCAGAGAAAAAACUUUAUUUAAAUCAACGAUGCCAUGAUCCAAACAAAAGAAAUGGGGAUAAUUUUGACAUUCGUAAAAGAAAACGCUCACCUUCUCCUCCGAAAAAAUACAGUAAAUCUCUUUUACGUUCCCUGUCACCUCAUCAGAUUGCGCCAACAAAAAGAAAUAAAGAAUCUAGGCAACAUUUAGCGUAUGGUGCAAGUGUCUCCUCAUUUCAACGAGAUGAGGUAGCAGUCGUGACAUUUGAAAUUGAGCGCAUGUAUAAAGAGUAUCGGAAAAAUCCUGAAAGUCAUCCUCUUUACGACGAAGAAUGGAAUGGAUUUUGGCGUCGUCGUAAGGAACAACUUGUUUCACAAGGAAUCGACCACCGAUCCUACAACUACCAACCCGAGUGGGUUAAAUACUUCAAAAAUCGUUUGGAGGAACUUUAUAAAAAGGAAAUAAGUGAUUCAAAAAGGGAAAUAAGAAAUCGCUUAUCAGACUAUGAAAUAAACAAUUCAUCAAAUUUGCUUGCACAUAUAAAAGACUUUGGUCUAAAGUCUGAUAAUACUUAUGAAUUGCAAAAUGAAAAGAGGUCUCCAGAUGUCAUAUCACAAUCCGCAAGUUCUCGCUAUUUGGAAAAUGAAAUGCAGGAUGGUAAACCUACUGUUAUCCAUGUACUGAGACUUUUGACAGCUUUAGAAGAUUACCUUGGCAGUUUGGGGACUAAAAUAAUGGAUUUACUUUCUAAAGCUUUAAUGAUAGAAAAAAAUUGUAAUAACAGUCAGUUGGAACAACAAAUUUUGACCUUUCAUAAUUGCACACUUUUGGAAACAGCAGUAGAGAAGUUGAAGGGACUACUCUUUGCUGGCUUAUUAGAUAGAUCUAAAGUGCAGGGAUUUAACCGUGUUAUUCAAUUUACCACCGAUUUACUUAAACAUGCUGAUAAAAUGGGAUGGCGUAACAUACAAACAUCCUUUUCAAAUAAAGUGGAAAACCCGGUGUUUCUAAAAUUAGCUGGCGCUGUGGAAAGUACUAGGGCGGCUAAUACAUUCCCUUCUACUCAAAAAUUGUUAUCUGAUACACUAAUGGAACUGUUAUCAAUGCAGAAAAAUAACAACAACUCUGCUUUUAACAACUCCCAUAAUCAAAAAACAUACAACGACCAAAGUCAAGGAAUAUGUGGUCCAGGUAUAGAUCAAUUUGGUGAGAAGGCGAAUUCCCGAGGUAGUCACUGGCAAAAUCCAGAAUUGAAUUCUUCUUACUUUUUAACCAAAUCUACAUGUUUUGAAAGAAGUUUUAACGGAGCUGCUAAAAACGUUACGAAUAAUCAGAACUACAAUAGUGUGAAUAAUACACCUGGCAAUAUUGGCAAUAUUGGCAACGUUGGGACGUUUGGAAAUAGACCGAAUCCUAAUUAUAAACCAAUAAGUGUAGCACAAAAUUAUCAAAAUUAUGACUUCGUUGGUGCCAUUAAGAGAAAUGUCUCUUUAAAUAAUCAGCAAUGCUGAUUUUGAAAUACAGAUAAAAUUAUAUAAAAAAUGUUUUAGAUUAAAUGAGUCGGUCAACUCGAAUAAGGCUCUAAUUACUAUCGCUUGAUUAAACAGCUCUUACAAGAAGAACUUUAAAAAAUCGUUUUUUUUCUUUUUGUUGUUAAUUAUACAACGUACACAUGUACUUAUAAGUAUCUAUGGACCAACAAUAUUAUUUAAGUUGGAAAACAAACGUUGAAUUAUAGUUCGCAAGUGUUCGAGAUCAUCAGUUCCAGAGAUAUUGAAUACUGUUUUCUUUUGAACUGAAAUAUACAGAACUUAUUGCACCGUAAAGCCUUUCACUGCUAAU